UACGGGGGUGCGAGCGUUGUCCGGAAUCACUGGGCGUAAAGAGCUCGUAGGCGGUUUGUUGCGUCGGCUGUGAAAUCCCGAGGCUCAACCUCGGGUCUGCAGUCGAUACGAGCAAACUAGAGUGUUGCAGGGGAGACUGGAAGUUCCUGGUGUAGCGGUGAAAUGCGCAGAUAUCAGGAGGAACACCAAUGGCGAAGGCAGCUCGCUGGGACGGUACUGACGCUGGAGGCGACGAAAGCGUGGGGAGCAAACAGG
rnacentral:rRNA from 1 species